rnacentral:rRNA from 1 species
ACCCGCUGAACUUAAGCAUAUCAAUAAGCGGAGGAAAAGAAACCAACAGGGAUUGCCCUAGUAACGGCGAGUGAAGCGGCAACAGCUCAAAUUUGAAAUCUGGCGCAAGCCCGAGUUGUAAUUUGUAGAGGAUGCUUCUGGGCAGCGGCCGGUCUAAGUUCCUUGGAACAGGACGUCACAGAGGGUGAGAAUCCCGUAUGUGAUCGGUUGGCACCCGCUACGUAGCUCCUUCGACGAGUCGAGUUGCUUGGGAAUGCAGCUCUAAAUGGGAGGUAAAUGCCUUCUAAAGCUAAAUACCGGCCAGAGACCGAUAGCGCACAAGUAGAGUGAUCGAAAGAUGAAAAGCACUUUGGAAAGAGAGUUAAAAAGCACGUGAAAUUGUUGAAAGGGAAGCGCAUGCAACCAGACUUGUCCGCGGUGUUCCGCCGGUCUUCUGACCGGUCUACUCGCCGCGGGCAGGCCAGCAUCAUCUGGGAGCGCCGGAUAAAGGUAGCGGGAAUGUGGCCCCUCGGGGUGUUAUAGCUCGCUACACAAUACGGCGCCUCCCGGGUGAGGUCCGCGCUUCGGCUAGGAUGCUGGCGUAAUGGUUGUAUGCGGCCCGUCUUGAAACACGGACCAAGGAGUCUACCAUCUAUGCGAGUGUUCGGGUGUCAAACCCCUACGCGCAAUGAAAGUGAACGGAGGUGGGAACCGCAAGGUGCACCAUCGACCGAUCCUGAUGUCUUCGGAUGGAUUUGAGUAAGAGCAUAGCUGGUGGGACCCGAAAGAUGGUGAACUAUGCCUGAAUAGGGUGAGGCCAGAGGAAACUCUGGUGGAGGCUCGCAGCGGUUCUGACGUGCAAAUCGAUCGUCAAAUUUGGGUAUAGGGGCGAAAGACUAAUCGAACCAUCUAGUAGCUGGUUCCUGCCGAAGUUUCCCUCAGG